AAGGUGUGCUCAGAGCAGGUGGCCUGAAGAAUGGUGCCUCUGUUUACAACACACCCAAGAAGAACUUAGGGUCAGUGUGACUAGAGGCACAAAACUUGUGACUUCCUUUGACCAAAUGUCCUAUACGU
ensembl:snoRNA